rnacentral:lncRNA from 1 species
UUUAAUAAAAAAUCUUGUAAUAUGUGUCAUGUACAAUUUGACUAUUAGUAUUAUUCGAUUUGGGAGGGUUUGUCAUCUGUUUUUAAAUUUUAAAAAGCAAUUACAAGGACUUAUUGUCAUGUGAUGGCCGAGAACUACUAUAUUUUUUUAGGAUAAAAUAUAUUUUUAAUUUCUUAAUUAUUGAAGCGGUGGAACAAUUUCACAAAUCGCAAUUCCACUUUUGCUGCAACCUCGCCUAGAGUUUCUGCACUUUCUCGACAAUCCUCUCAUAAUUUCACUUUGUGUACGUUGAUGGUAACGGAGGCGGACGAGCAGUGAUGAUUUGAUUACGGUGUCGAGUCCGAGGCAGUGGAGCACGACGACCUCAUGUUGGCGCCGGCGGAGACAAAAAGGACGGGAUAGUGGUUGCGAAGGAGGGGGGAGGUCUCGGAAGUGGAGGGGGAAGGAGAGGACCUCGCUUCAUAUUUUCCAGAUCUCCUCAUCUCUCAAUCUGUUCAUAUUUUCCGGUUAGAUCUAAGUCAGAUUCGCACGUCUGUUCUAGAUUUCUUCAAGAUCAGGAACGUGCUCAUCUUUCUCCAAAUUUCUUAAUUCGCGUUUGAAGUGUUAUUGUUCAAAAAUUAAUUUGCAAUUAAACUAUUGUUGUCGACAACAAUUGUUGUAAUUGAACAAUGUAUGUUGUAGCGUGCGUUGGAAAAUUUUGAUUGGUUGAUUCAGUUGGUAGACCAUACAUUUGUCCUUCAUGUUGAAGAAAUAAAAGCAAUUUUUGGAGGCUAUUAAGCGCGAUAAAAUGCUUCAACACAUUUAAAAUAUUUUCACCAAAUAAUUAAUGAGGGCUAAAAAUUGUACGAAACUUUUUUUUUUUUUAUCACAUAUCAAUUAUUAUUUCAUCAUUUAACAGAAAAACUUAACGGUAUAGAUGAAAAGUGAGAAAAAAUAUUUUGGAGAACAAAACCGAAUAACAUGUGUGAUUGAAGGACCGAAAAUCUUAAAUAAUUUAAAUACUAAAAAUAUAUUUUAUCCUAUUU